rnacentral:pre_miRNA from 1 species
UGGACAGAUUAUUGUAUUCGACUGUAUUCAUGGCGUGAAAAAGGGGAUUACACUGUUUUUAAAACGGAAAGUGAAUUAAUUACCAUAAUAGACUCCU